ACAUGUAUUAAAGCACCGAUGUAAAUUAUGACGAAUUAUAAUGGCAAUUAAUGGUAAUUAAAUCACACUUCUAGAUUCGUGCACUGAUUUGAACGUAAUUAAGGUAUUUAAGUCCACUACAACCAUUAUUUCUUCUAGGUCCCUGCCGAGUCUGACGAAGAGACGGACGUCUGUCUCCAGAUGACUCUUGUCUUCAUAACAUAUCAUCGCAUUGUCCUUGUAGGGAAAGGGGACAAUCACACCGCUGUGUCCAUCACAUGAUGCCAUGUGGUGGAUCUUUCAAGUCUCCAAAUGAUCGUAGUAACUCUCUAUCUUUAUCUUUGUAAAUGCAUUGAAGUUGGACUAGUUAUUGUAAGAACAUUACAGAUUCUCACAUUUUACAGGAAAAUAAUAUCGGUGUCUUCUGUUUGGGUACUCCCAUACUUGAUAACAUAGGUUAAACAAUUAUAUCCUUUUUCUCUGCCCUGUCUGUGGAAAUCAUGUCUGUUUCCUUGACUACACACCUGGGUUUUACAAUUGCAACGACAGCUCACUCUUCCACGAUGUGCACUCCUGCUCUCUGCUUUGGCUAAUAAGACUUGCUGGACACCAUCAACCUCUUUAAUGAAAACACGUAGCACCACUAGAGAGCACGCAAGGCUUUCCUCUACUUCCUUUCCCUAAUGGAAAGUUCUCCUGUCAACUGAAAAGUGGCUUUCGAUGUGUCCGGUAAAUUGAUGAAAUCCAUGUCUUAGAAACAUCUCAGAUUUGUUAUAGUGUUUGUGGAAGAGAUAGUGUAUGUCCCACUCUAAGGUAUUUAUAAGGCCAACAAGGGAAAUAAAUGCUGUCAUUGAUGACCAUUUUGAA